rnacentral:rRNA from 1 species
CCUACGGGAGGCAGCAGUGGGGAAUAUUGCACAAUGGGGGAAACCCUGAUGCAGCGACGCCGCGUGAGUGAAGACGGCUUUCGGGAUGUAAAGCUCUGUCUGCAGGGACGAUAAUGACGGUACCUGACUAGGAAGCCCCGGCUAACUACGUGCCAGCAGCCGCGGUAAUACGUAGGGGGCAAGCGUUAUCCGGAUUUACUGGGCGUAAAGGGAGCGUAGGCGGCCUUUUAAGUGAGAUGUGAAAUCCCGGGGCUCAAC